ensembl:lncRNA
AGUGGUAAAUGACUCCAACUAGGAACCACGAGGUUGUGGGUUCAGUCCCUGGCCUCGCUCAGAGAGUUAAGGAGCCAGCGGUACUGUGAGCUGUGGUGUAGGUCGCAGAUGUGGCUUGGAUCCUGCAUUGCUGUGGCUAUGGCUGUGGCCGGCAGCUGUAGCUCCAUUGCAACACUUAGCCUGGGAACCUCCACAUGCUGCAGGUGUGGCCCUAAAAAGCAAAAAAAAAAAAAAAAAAAAAAAAAAAAAAUUUUUUUAAAUACAAAAUAAGAUUCUUCUGGUGGCCUAGCAGUUAAGGAUUCAGUGUUGUCACUGCUAAGGAUCAGGUUGGAUCCCUGGCCCAGGAACUUCCAUAUGUCAUGGGUGUGGUCAAAAAAAAAAGAAAAAGAAAAUACAAAAUAGAAAUAUAAGUAGUGCAAGAGAAUACCCACUGUGAGCAUUUUAAUCAUUAUCCUUUUGGCCUUUUCUCUAUACACUCUUCAUGUCGUUUUUAGCCCUUCCUUCAUAUAAAAUUAGGACCAUAUUCUAGAUUCUGUUUUAUAACUGCUUUUUACAGCUUUCACCAUUAUGCAGUCGACAACCUUCCCAUGUCAUUAGCAUUCUUUUACUGCAUUUAAAGGGUUGCUAACUGUCCACUUGGAGUUCCAUCAUCUACAUAAAAAAUCAUCUCUUAUCUUCCUUCCUCCCUUCCUUCCUUCCUUCUUUCCUUCCUUUCUUUCUUGGCAUCACCAGCAGAAUAUGGAAGUUCCUGGGUCAGGCAUUGAACCUGCUUUUUUUUUUUUUUGGUCUUUUCAGGGCUGUACCCAUGGCAUAUGAAGUUCUCAGGCUAGGGGUCGAAUUGGUGCUGUAGGCGCUGGCCUACGCCACAGCCACAGCAAUGCCAGAUCUGAGCCAAGUUUUCGACCUACACCACAGCUCAUGGCAGCACCGGAUCCUUAACCCACUGACCGAGGCCAGGGAUAGAACCUGAGUCCUCAUGGUUUCUAGUUAGAAUCGUUUCCGCUGAGCCAUGAUAGGCACGCUCUGUGAUGAUCAUUCUUGUAGCUAAAUCUCUGCCCACAUCUGCGAUUUUUCCUUUAGACGCAAUUCUAGAAGUUGGGUGUCUGGGUAUAAAGAGAUGUAUACUCCUGAGGUUUAGACAUCUCCCAGUUAAUUUUUUAACAGUGGCAUAACAGUUUGCACUGAGAGUAUGAACUGAAAUGGAUUCCUGUCAGGUGGUUCUUAGAAUCCUGAGAGUGGAGUUCCGUUGUGGUGCAGUGGAAACGAAUCUGACUACUGUCCAUGAAGAUGUGGCUUCAAUCUCUGGUCUCAGUGGGUAGGAGAUCUGGCAUUGCCAUGAGCUGUGGUGUAGGUCGCAGACAUGGCUUGGAUCCUGCAUCGCUGUGGCUGUGGUAGAGGCCUCAGCUGUAGCUCCCAUUUGACCCCUAGCCUGGGAACUUCCAUAUGCUCUGGGUGUGGCCAAAAAGAAAAAAAAAAAAAUCCUGAGAGCAACAACAGUGACAGCAAUGACAAUGUUAAUUGUCUGGUACCUGUUACAUCUCUUCAUUUAUUUCCCAGCAAAAACCUAGCUAGAUGGGGAUUAAUUGGUACCUUUGACAAACAAAGACACAGGUUCAAGAGAAGGACCGUAUUCAAGUUCUUUCAGAAGAAGGCUGGAUGCAAAGCUGGACCUGUCUAACCCAAAGCCCUCUGCCCACUCCAUGGUGUCUUCUAGGGACUGGAAAAUCCUUUUGCUGUACUGUACCAGGGAGCCCAACUGGGCUAGUGACCCCGGUAAGCUACAAUAGCAGUGGUUAAUAAUGAUCAUAGUAAGAGCUAAUACUCAACUGAUGCUAAUAGACUGAAUAGGAAAGCAAGUGGGAUUGAGAGACGGAAAAAAAGAAUGAAUCUGGAAGGGUGGGUGCAUACGGGGAGGGAUUCUGAGUCAGAUGGAAGUUACAAGAAGAUAAAAAAUUGAAAUCGCAUGUCAACCCACUUGUUGCUGACAUGUCACGAGCUUGUACAAGCUUCCUCAGUCACCAGGACACCAGGCUGUUGGCCUCAUUCCCCUGUAGUAACAUUGAUAAGUACAUUCCACUGAGACCAGAUGUAGCUGUGAGAGGCCAGGAGCUCGUUUACUAGAAGACACAAAAGGGGUGGAGGGGUUGGUGCAAAUUUUCAAUCGUGUCUUGGAGUUUUUGUGAAAGGCCAAGAUGGGAAACUUUCUGGGGAUGUUCCAGUGAAAUUCUGGAUCAAGCUGCAUACAGAACUCGUGUGUGUGUGUGUGUGUGUGUGUGUGUGUGUGUGUGUGUGUUUGAAGAGAGAGAAAGAGGGAGAAAGAGAGCAUGAGCACAUGGGGACAUCCAUGCAAGAAACACUGUGAUUGACAAGUUUGGGGGAAACUGAAUAAUUUUUAACCAUUUGAUAAUUUGUUCUUAGUCCUGCUCCCUGCUGACUUACAUUUCCAUACAUGUUCUGCUUGUCAACUGAUAGGGUAAGUAGCUGGGAAGGUAUAGAGAAGAGAAGGGGAAGGGUGAGAAAAGGCUUUGGAUGCCACAAAUAGAGUUUCUAAUCCAAAUUUAGCCACCAAUCAGAUUUACAUAAGAGAACAAUAGCUAACAUGUAUUUCAGGAUCUGUGUUAAGUGCAUCUUCUAUAUCAUUUAACUUUCAAAGCCGCUCCACAGCAGAGAUUCUCCCAGGGUCCCUGUUUUAUAGAUGAGGAAACUGAAGAUCAGGAGGCCUAGGAAAAAUUUAUGGAAGAUAUAGGCAGAUUUGAGUUGGGGGCCAUCUAAAUUCAACAUUCUACUCUUCCUAUUUUUUUUUUUUUUUCCUGUUUAGGGCUGUACCGCGGCAUAUGGAGAUUUCCAGGCUAGGGGUCGAAUUUGAGGUACCGCUGCCAGCCUCCACCAUAGCCACAGCGAUGCAGGAUCCUAGCCACUUUUGUGACUUACACCACAGCUCACAGCAAUGCCAGAUCUUUAACCCAUUGAUCAGGGCCAGGGAUCAAACUCACAUCCUCAUGGAUACUAGUCGAGUUCAUUACCACUGUGCCACAACUGGAACUCCAACAUUCUACUCUUCUGAAUGGCAUGACUUGGAGAGAAUUUUUAAGUCAGGCCUCAGUUUCUGUUCUUUAAAGUAGAGAUGAACACAGCUGACCCAGGCUACCGUCAGGGGACCUAAAUUAAGUGUAGUAUUUCACACCAGAGUCUGGCGCAUAAUAGGUCCUCAGUGAAUGUUACUUAUUCUCCUUGCCCAGGACUUUCAGAAGGGGAGAGGACAUAGGAAAAACCAAACCAAACCAAAAACCUGACUAGACUGGACAGAGGGCAUUGCUAUAAAAAAGAAGAAAAGUUCAGAUUCACCUUAGAUUCAAGAAUGCAAACAGGAUAAAGGACACUGGGCUCAGAACCACACAUAGACUGAUUUAGCCACAAGCUUGUGGAGGUGAGGGUAUUGUGUCUAAUUGGCAAAUGAAGAAGUGGUGCCCUAAAAGACUAAAUACCUUUCCCUAAGUCCUUUUGCUGGGAUUUUCUCCAAGGAGUGAACCUACUUGUUAUGCUUUUAUUUAUUUAUUUAUGUAUUUUUUGAGGAAGAAUGUACAUACCAUGGAAGUCACCUCUAGAAGUAUACAGUCUACUCUAUUCACAGAGAAGUGCAACCAUCACCACUAUGCAACUGUCUAAGUCCAGAGAAUUUUCAUUGCCCCAAAGAGAAUCUGCUGACUCAUGAACAGUCACUCCCAUUCCUCCCUCCCUUGGACCCAGCAGGCAGUUUGAAGAGUGGUCCUCGAUGUGGCUGCAAACAUGUCUAUUUCCUUCUUCCCAACCAACCAAUGGAGUGAGGGACUCUCCCCAUGCAGACUGAAGAGGUGUGAACUGAAGUCUGGCACUUGCCAUCAGCCUCUGCAUGGAGUAAAACAUGAGCCACUGAAGCUGCAGACCCGCAGCACUGCCUGAGUGGAGCUCAGCGUGGAGACCAGGCGUGAGGCUCUCUGUGCUCUGGGAAAACUGGAAGAACAGGCCUUCAGAUAGUUAGAUAUUUUUUUGGAGAAGCUUUUAUGAGCCCAAUUCUUGCAUCUCCUCAUAUCUAGAAAAACACUAAAAUCCUUCAAUGAUGACUGAUGUCUGUGACUAGUAUAUCUAGGAAAACACUACGCAUAUCUAGAAAAACACUAAAAUCCUUCAAUGAUGACUUCUAUAAAAUAUAUGCAUGGCUGCAUGCACUCCCCCUUCACCUUUAUGACUUAUAUAUUGAUACAGCCCUCUUUCCUCUUUAGGGUGGUAUUUCAGACCUAUCUGAAAUACUGCCUCAUGGGCUGUAGUUAGAGGACGAAACAAAAGAUAUCAUGGUCAUCUGCAACCACAACCACUCCCAAGGACAGGCCACUGAGCCCUGAGGGAACUCAGGGAAGAAACGAAGAAGACUGGCCCACAGUUGAGGUGCACAUCAAAGGAGCAACUCCAGGAAGCCCACACUUUUACAUCUUCCCAUAGAAACUGGUUUUCUGUCAAUCUGGUUAUCUGUAAAUCUUUUGUUCCUACUACCUUCCCUUUGUUGCAAAACUCACAUGGCACCCCCCACCUCACCUGCUCAGAGUGGUUUCUCAGGGCUACCUGAGAUGCUGUCUCUUGGGCUUAAGUCCUAAUGUCACCCCAAAUAAAACUUAACUC